GCGGCAGUAGUUCAAUUGGCAGAACACUCGAUUGGUAAUCGAGUAAUGACGGGAUCAUACCCCGCCUGCCGCC
rnacentral:tRNA from 1 species